CCUACGGGUGGCAGCAGUGGGGGAUAUUGGACAAUGGGGGGAACCCUGAUCCAGCGACGCCGCGUGAGUGAAGAAGUAUUUCGGUAUGUAAAGCUCUGUCAGCAGGGAAGAAAGAAAUGACGGUACCUGACCAAGAAGCCCCGGCUAACUACGUGCCAGCAGCCGCGGUAAUACGUCGGGGGCAAGCGUUAUCCGGAAUUACUGGGUGUACAGGGAGCGUAGACGGUUAAGUAAGUCUGGAGUGAAAGGCCGGGGCUCAACCCCGGGACUGCUCUGGAAACUAUUUAACUUGAGUGCAGGAGAGGUAAGCGGAAUUCCUAGGGUAGCGGUGAAAUGCGUAGAUAUUAGGAGGAACACCAGUGGCGAAGGCGGCUUACUGGACUGUAACUGACGUUGAGGCUCGAAAGCGUGGGGAGCAAACAGGAUUAGAUACCCCAGUAGUC
rnacentral:rRNA from 1 species